rnacentral:rRNA from 1 species
UACGGAGGGUGCAAGCGUUGUCCGGAUUUAUUGGGUUUAAAGGGUGCGUAGGCGGCUUUUUAAGUCAGUGGUGAAAUACAGCAGCUCAACUGUUGAGGUGCCAUUGAUACUGAAGAGCUUGAGUACAGAUGAGGUAGGCGGAAUUUAUGGUGUAGCGGUGAAAUGCGCAGAUAUCAGGAGGAACACCGGUGGCGAAGGCGGGUCUCUGGGCAAUAACUGACGCUGAGGAGCGAAAGCGUGGGGAGCGAACAGG